rnacentral:tRNA from 1 species
AGGCGGUUAGCUCAGUUGGUUAGAGCGUUACGUUGACAUCGUAGAGGUCACCAGUUCGAAUCUGGUACCGCCUA